rnacentral:rRNA from 1 species
AUUGAACGCUGGCGGCAUGCUUUACACAUGCAAGUCGAACGGUAACAGGUUAAGCUGACGAGUGUCGAACGGGUGAGUAAUGCAUCGGAACGUGCCCAGUCGUGUGGGAUAACGCAGCGAAAGCUGUGCUUAUACCGCAUACGAACUAGGGAUGAAAGCGUGGGACCGUAAGGCCUCGCGCGAUUGGAGCGGCCGAUGGCAGAUUAGGUAGUUGGUGGGGUAAAGGCUCACCAAGCCAACGAUCUGUAGCUGGUCUGAGAGGACGACCAGCCACACUGGGACUGAGACACGGCCCAGACUCCUACGGGAGGCAGCAGUGGGGAAUUUUGGACAAUGGGCGCAAGCCUGAUCCAGCAAUGCCGCGCGCAGGAAGAAGGCCUUCGGGUUGUAAACUGCUUUUGUACGGAACGAAAAGGUUUGGGUUAAUACCUUGGGCCGAUGACGGUACCGUAAGAAUAAGCACCGGCUAACUACGUGCCAGCCGCCGCCGUAA